rnacentral:rRNA from 1 species
GACGAACGCUGGCGGCGUGCUUAACCCAUGCAAGUCGAACGGAAAGGCCCUGCUUUUGUGGGGUGCUCGAGUGGCGAACGGGUGAGUAACACGCGAGUAACCUGCCCUUGAUUUUGGGAUAACUUCAGGAAACUGGGGCUAAUCCCGGAUAGGAGCUCCUGACGCAUGCUGGGGGUUCGAAAGUUUCGGCGGUUGGGGAUGUACUCGCGGCUUAUCAGCUUGUUGGUGGGGGAGUUGCUUACCAAGGCUUUGACGGGUAGCCGGCCUGAGAGGGUGACCGGCCACAUUGGGACUGAGAUACGGCCCAGACUCCUACGGGAGGCAGCAGUGGCGAAUAUUGCACAAUGGGCGGAAGCCUGAUGCAGCAACGCCGCGUGCGGGAUGACGGCCUUCGGGUUGUAAACCGCUUUCGCCUGUGACGAAGCGUGAGUGACGGUAAUGGGUAAAGAAGCACCGGCUAACUACGUG